UACAGAGGUGGCAAACGUUGUCCGGAUUUAUUGGGUGUAAAGGGCAUGUAGGUGGUCUUGUAAGUCGAAGGUGAAAUGGCCCGGCUUAACCAGGUCAUUGCCUUUGAAACUGCCGGACUUGAGUACGGAAGAGGAAAGCGGAAUUCCCAGUGUAGCGGUGAAAUGCGUAGAUAUCAGGAGGAACACCUGCGGUG
rnacentral:rRNA from 1 species